CGGUAAAGACGCAUGCAGGCGGCCGUCGUUAAGUACUAGAUGUGAAAGAUCCGGGGGCUUAAACCUCGGAAUUGCAUUUGAAACUGGCAGGCUAGAGUCUUGUAGAGGGGGGUAGAAUUUCAGGUGUAGCGGUGAAAUGCGUAGAGAUCUGAAGGAAUACCAGUGGCGAAGGCGGCCCCCUGGACAAAGACUGACGCUCAGAUGCGAAAGCGUGGGGAGCAAACAGGAUUAGAUACCCUGGUAG
rnacentral:rRNA from 1 species